GCUUUUGAUCAGUUAGCGGCGGACGGGUGAGUAACACGUGGUUAACCUGCCUGUAAGACUAGGAUAACUCCGGGAAACCGGGGCUAAUACUGGAUAACUUUUCUCUCCGCAUGGAGAGAGAUUGAAAGAUGGCUUCGGCUAUCACUUACAGAUGGACCCGCGGCGCAUUAGCUAGUUGGUGAGGUAACGGCUCACCAAGGCAACGAUGCGUAGCCGACCUGAGAGGGUGAUCGGCCACAUUGGGACUGAGACACGGCCCAAACUCCUACGGGAGGCAGCAGUAGGGAAUCUUCCGCAAUGGACGAAAGUCUGACGGAGCAACGCCGCGUGAGUGAAGAAGGUCUUCGGAUCGUAAAACUCUGUUGUUAGGGAAGAACAAGUAUCGUUCGAAUAGGGCGGUACCUUGACGGUACCUAACCAGAAAGCCACGGCUAACUACGUGCCAGCAGCCGCGGUAAUACGUAGGUGGCAAGCGUUGUCCGGAAUUAUUGGGCGUAAAGCGCGCGCAGGCGGUCUUUUAAGUCUGAUGUGAAAGCCCACGGCUCAACCGUGGAGGGUCAUUGGAAACUGGAAGACUUGAGUGCAGAAGAGGAGAGUGGAUUCCACGUGUAGCGGUGAAAUGCGUAGAGAUGUGGAGGACACCAGUGGCGAGGCGACUCUCUGGUCUGUAACUGACGCUGAGGCGCGAAAGCGUGGGGAGCAAACAGGAUUAGAUACCCUGGUAGUCACGCC
rnacentral:rRNA from 1 species